rnacentral:rRNA from 1 species
UUUUGUAGAAUGAACCGGCGAGUUACGAUUUGAUGCAAGGUUAAGCAGUAAAUGUGGAGCCGUAGCGAAAGCGAGUCUGAAUAGGGCGUUUAGUAUUUGGUCGUAGACCCGAAACCAGGUGAUCUACCCUUGGUCAGGUUGAAGUUCAGGUAACACUGAAUGGAGGACCGAACCGACUUACGUUGAAAAGUGAGCGGAUGAACUGAGGGUAGCGGAGAAAUUCCAAUCGAACCUGGAGAUAGCUGGUUCUCUCCGAAAUAGCUUUAGGGCUAGCCUCAAGUGAUGAUUAUUGGAGGUAGAGCACUGUUUGGACGAGGGGCCCCUCUCGGGUUACCGAAUUCAGACAAACUCCGAAUGCCAAUUAAUUUAACUUGGGAGUCAGAACAUGGGUGAUAAGGUCCGUGUUCGAAAGGGAAACAGCCCAGACCACCAGCUAAGGUCCCAAAAUAUAUGUUAAGUGGAAAAGGAUGUGGCGUUGCCCAGACAACUAGGAUGUUGGCUUAGAAGCAGCCAUCAUUUAAAGAGUGCGUAAUAGCUCACUAGUCGAGUGACACUGCGCCGAAAAUGUACCGGGGCUAAACAUAUUACCGAAGCUGUGGAUUGUCCUUUGGACAAUGGUAGGAGAGCGUUCUAAGG